rnacentral:rRNA from 1 species
UGGGGAAUAUUGCACAAUGGAGGAAACUCUGAUGCAGCGACGCCGCGUGAGUGAAGAAGGUCUUCGGAUCGUAAAACUCUGUCCUUGGUGACGAAAAAAAUGACGGUAGCCAAGGAGGAAGCCCCGGCUAACUACGUGCCAGCAGCCGCGGUAAUACGUAGGGGGCGAGCGUUGUCCGGAUUUACUGGGUGUAAAGGGCGCGCAGGCGGGAUAAAAAGUCAGUGGUGAAAUCCUACAGCUUAACUGUAGAACUGCCUUUGAUACUUUUAUUCUUGAGUUCGGGAGAGAGAGACGGAAUUCCAGGUGUAGUGGUGAAAUACGUAGAUAUCUGGAAGAACACCCGUUCCGAAGGCGGUCUCUUGGUCCGACACUGACGCUGAGGCGCGAAAGCGUGGGGA